UGUUGUUCCACCUAUAGGGUU
rnacentral:piRNA from 1 species